rnacentral:rRNA from 1 species
UGGGGAAUAUUGCGCAAUGGGCGAAAGCCUGACGCAGCGACGCCGCGUGAGGGAUGAAGGUUUUCGGAUCGUAAACCUCUGUCAGAAGGGAAGAAACCGCACUGUGCUAAUCAGCAGUGCCUUGACGGUACCUUCAAAGGAAGCACCGGCUAACUCCGUGCCAGCAGCCGCGGUAAUACGGAGGGUGCAAGCGUUAAUCGGAAUGACUGGGCGUAAAGCGCACGUAGGCUGCUUUGUAAGUCAGGGGUGAAAUCCCACGGCUCAACCGUGGAACUGCCUUUGAUACUGCUUAGCUUGAAUCCGGGAGGGGGUGGCGGAAUUCCAGGUGUAGGAGUGAAAUCCGUAGAUAUCUGGAGGAACAUCAGUGGCGAAGGCGGCCACCUGGACCGGUAUUGACGCUGGGGUGCGAAAGCGUGGGGAGCAAACAGG